rnacentral:rRNA from 1 species
CCUACGGGGGGCAGCAGUAGGGAAUUUUCGUCAAUGGGCGCAAGCCUGAACGAGCAAUGCCGCGUGAACGAGGAAGGUCUUCGGAUCGUAAAGUUCUGUUGAAGGGGAAAAAGAGCGGAGAGAGGAAAUGAACUCCGAUUGAUAUUACCCUUCGAGGAAGUCACGGCUAACUACGUGCCAGCAGCCGCGGUAAUACGUAGGUGGCGAGCGUUAUCCGGAAUGAUUGGGCGUAAAGGGAGCGUAGACGGCACUGCAAGUCCGGAGUGAAAGCCCACAGCCCAACUGUGGGACUGCUCUGGCAACUG